rnacentral:rRNA from 1 species
CAUUUGUUUUUUAAUUGAAGACUUGUAUGAAUGGCUGAACGAGAAAAUAACUGUCUCUUUUAAAAAUCUUGAAUUUUACCUUUAAGUGAAAAGGCUUAAAUAAAUUUAGGGGACGAUAAGACCCUAUAAAUCUUUAUAUUAUUUUUCUUUAAAUUUCAAAUUAUAUAUUAAAAGAAAUAAAAGAAAAAAAUAUUAUAUUGGGGAGAUAAGAAUAUAAUUUUUAACUGUUUUAAAAAUAAAACAAUAAUUUUUGAUUAAAAAAAUUGAUCCUUUUUAAAGAUUUGAAGAUUAAGUUACUUUAGGGAUAACAGCGUAAUUUUUUUUGAGAGUUCUUAUCGAAAAAAAAGUUUGCGACCUCGAUGUUGAAUUAAAAUAUCCUUAUAAGUGCAGAAGCUAUAAAAAAGGAAA